CAUGUUUGCAAAAUCGCUAAUUGGCAAAAUAUUCAUCCCCCGAGGAUCUACUCGCCACAUCUACCAUAAGGCCAAUGGAUCUGUGAUUGCAUUUCCGUCUUCAAAUAAAAUCCCCCGAAAGCACAUCUACGCCAUGGCGGCUGGAAUGUUCGUGGUCUGGGCAUCAAUGCCGUGUGUGGCUGUCUACAUGAUCAACGAAUACCGGAAGAAGCUGGGCGAUGAGUGAGCCCCAUCUUUACAUUGUUAAAUUACCGAGAAACCUGUGAAAAUAAAACCAAUCCUAUUUAACCUUCGA